rnacentral:rRNA from 2 species
UCUAGAGGCUUCGGCAAUGGGGGCAACCCUGACCGAGCGACGCCGCGUGUGGGAUUGAAGGCCUUCGGGUCGUAAACCACUGUCAUUGGGGAAGAAUGCCCGGAUGGUGAAUCCGGGAGGGACGGUACCCAAGGAGGAAGCCCCGGCUAACUCCGUGCCAGCAGCCGCGGUAAUACGGAGGGGGCAAGCGUUGUUCGGAUUUACUGGGCGUAAAGGGUGUGUAGGCGGCCGCGCCAGUCUGGUGUGAAAUCUUCACCGCUUAACGGGAAGAGGGCACUGGAUACUGCGCGGCUCGAGUAUGGUAGAGGCAAGCGGAAUUCCUGGUGUAGCGGUGGAAUGUGUAGAGAUCAGGAAGAACACCGGUGGCGAAGGCGGCUUGCUGGGCCAUUACUGACGCUGAGACACGAGAGCGUGGGGAGCAAACGGG